ensembl:misc_RNA Metazoa_SRP Metazoan signal recognition particle RNA
GCCGGGUGCAGUGGCGCGCGCCUGUAAUCCACGUUACCGGGAGGCUGAGGCUGGAGGAUCGUUUGAGCUCAGGAGCUCUGAGCUGCAGCGGACUAUGUCGAUCGGGUGUCCGCACUAAGUUCGGUAUCGAUAUGGUGCUCCUGGGGGAGCCCGGGACCACCAGGUCGUCUAAGGAGGGGUGCACCGGCCCAGGUCGGACACGGAGCAGGUCAAAGCCCCCGUGCCGCUCAGUAGUGGGAUCGCGCCUGUGAAUAGACGCUGUAGUGCAGCCUGAGUAACACAGCGGGACCCAGUCUUUU